GUUCGGGUACGUGUGUGGUAAGGAGUUUUGCAAACAGUAGCACGCCCUCACCACCAGGUUUGCUUCCUGAAGGGGGGUGGCCUUGGAUUCCUGACACCUACCGCUAAAAGGAAUGCAUCUCCUUCAGUAGCUGGCUCACCCUGCCCACUCGGCUCCACCUACGACUCACAGCCCCGAGUCAGCCAAGAGAUCCUUGGACCCCUCCAUGGUCCUGCCUGCGCCCAUAGAAUUAACUGUUCACCGGCAGACAGCUCGCCGGCGAUGUAGCACCUCCCCAUGUCACUCCGUGCCCGCACUGACUUGAGGCAAGCUCCAGCAACCCCUAUAGCAGAUGCAUCAUGGCCAGGGAAAAUGUGCAGGUUCUACUUGCGAAGAGGCAGAGAGUCAAAUGCCUGCUGCCACAAGACCUUUACCUCAGUGAGGACGUGCGCUGAGGCACUUGAUUUAAUGUAAGAAUUCUGAAUUAGGAACGCUUUGUCAGGAAAGCACCCAGGUUCUCUGUGUCCAGAGUUCACCUUUCCCUGGAUAAAGUUUUACAUCUUGAGAACCCAAA